AUACGGAGGGUGCAAGCGUUAUCCGGAUUUAUUGGGUUUAAAGGGUGCGUAGGCGGAUCGGUCAGUCAGUGGUGAAAUCCCAUAGCUUAACUAUGGAACUGCCAUUGAUACUGCCAAUCUCGAGUAUAGUUGAAGUGGAUGGAAUGUAACAUGUAGCGUUGAAAUGCAUAGAUAUGUUACAGAACACCGAUUGCGAAGGCAGUUCACUAAACUAUUACUGACGCUGAGGCACGAAAGCGUGGGGAGCGAACAGGAUUAGAAACCCUAGUAGUCC
rnacentral:rRNA from 1 species